rnacentral:rRNA from 1 species
UUGAACGCUGGCGGCAGGCCUAACACAUGCAAGUCGAACGGUAACAGGUAGAAGCUUGUUUCUUUGCUGACGAGUGGCGGCCGGGUGAUUACUGUCUGGGAAACUGCCUGUUGGAGGGGGAUAACUUCUGGAAACGGUAGCUAAUACCGCAUAACGUCUCUAGACCAAAGAUGGCGACCUUCGGGCCUCUUUUCAUCCUAUCUGCCCAGAUGUGAUUAGCUAGUAGGUGGGGUAACGGCUCACCUCGGCGACGAUCCCUGGCUUGUCUGAGAGGAUGACCAGCCAAACUGGAACUGAGACACGGACCAGACUCCUACGGGAGGAAGCAGAGGGGAAUAUUGGACAAUGGGCGCAAGCCUGAUGCAGAAAGGCCGCGUGGAUGAAGAAGGCCUUGGGGUUGUAAAGUACUUUCAGCGGGGAGGAAGGGAGUAAAGUUAAAAACUUUGCUAAUUGACGUUAACCGCAGAAGAAGCACCGGCUAACUACGUG